rnacentral:rRNA from 1 species
AACGAACGCUGGCGGCAGGCUUAACACAUGCAAGUCGAGCGCCCCGCAAGGGGAGCGGCAGACGGGUGAGUAACGCGUGGGAGUCUACCCAUCUCUACGGAAUAACGCAUGGAAACGUGUGCUAAUACCGUAUACGUCCUUCGGGAGAAAGAUUUAUCGGAGAUGGAUGAGCCCGCGUUGGAUUAGCUAGUUGGUGGGGUAAAGGCCUACCAAGGCGACGAUCCAUAGCUGGUCUGAGAGGAUGACCAGCCACACUGGGACUGAGACACGGCCCAGACUCCUACGGGAGGCAGCAGUGGGGAAUAUUGGACAAUGGGCGCAAGCCUGAUCCGGCCAUGCCGCGUGAGUGAUGAAGGCCCUAGGGUUGUAAAGCUCUUUCACCGGUGAAGAUAAUGACGGUAACCGGAGAAGAAGCCCCGGCUAACUUCGUGCCAGCCGCCGCCGUAAAAC